AUUUGGUGAGCGAGUGCACGCUUUUCAAUAUUUAUCUUCAUUACGAACAGACUUUCGUAACUAUGGUAAUACUUGAUCCUUGUUUGCGCGCAUUCGCAAUGCAAGAACCACAAUCAUUGCUGAGCUUGUUAAGAAGAUUUGGGGAUACUGUCCACCAGUGCUAGUGGAAACUUUUACCGAAGAAAGUAGAAACAACUAUAAGUGUCACCGUAGUUGGUGAAGAAUUGAAUGUUUACGAGCUGGAAGUCGAAAAAUGCCAACAUCUGGAGGACGAAAAUUUUCAACUCGCAUGGCCGACACGUUUUGGGAUAAUUGUAGUCGACCAUCUCUCAAUAUUCACUUUCAACGAGCAAUCAUCUUUCAAAAGCACGAGAUACAAAAGGUUCACUUGUAUUGCACAAAGCGUUCCACCAUUCAAUUUUCCGAAUUGCUGCUACCUUUCAGAAGGAGAAAAUUGGAGAAAAUUUUGACGCAUCG